UCUUCACAGCUCUGCAUGAAAUCUCUUAAAUGUCCCACUUUCCAGCGGUGGUUGGUCCCCUGGCAAAGCAAAUCUCCGGAGAGGACGCUUCGAUGGAAAAAAAAAAGUCACGACAGGGAAGGUUUUAUUUCCUGUCUGGUAACUUUUUGAAAAUACAUAUGAGAGUUCUGAGGCGGCCACCUGCUCCUCCAUCUCCGGCGGGGCCCCUCGGCCCAUUCCAGCUGCCCGCUGGAGGAAUUAAGGGAGGAGAUUAGGAGAGCCUGGGCAGAUGUAGCAGCUGAGUUGACAUUAGCCUGCUUGGGACAUCAUGCUGCUCAGAUAGAAGGGAAAUGCUCAGCACUGGUGACCUGGAGGCUUAAGGAUGUCGCUUGCUUCAUUAUGUCCCAGACAAGCUUUCUGACUCACCGGCCAAAAUAUAUUUUCUGCCCACUGCUCACACAUAUUUUUUUUUUUAAAAGGGAUGGAGAUAGAGAGUUGGUUUGUCCAGGUGUGAAAACCUACUAGACCGGCAAAAUGUGACUAACCGGGUGGACCUUGGGAAAAAAAAAUGCUGUCAUGGCAUCUAGCAGGGAUUCCAAUAAAUUGAAGCUUUGGUUACUUUAAAGAAAAAAAAACUCAAACAAGAUAUGCUCAGAUGACUUAGAUACAACAUGUCGCCCAGCUGAGAGGCUACAACGUAAAAUCUGUGGCACGAACGAAGUAUUCAGCGCUCACUGUAUCAGGAUCGGUCCUUCUGUCUUCAUUCAUUCCAGCAGAGAGAGACUGCUCUGUGAAACAUACUGCAACAUUUAUUUCCAAUGGGUGUAACUUCCAAUGCACUAGUACAUUAUUGCCACUUUCACCCACAAGUUGUCCAAUUUUCCAACCCCUAAAAGACCAACCAAGUUUGCCAAUAUAUUCACACAGGAAAAUGAAAUAUGUAUUACGGUUAAGGGGCCGCGUGACAAAGUGAGAUUUGUUCCAUUCUACGGACUGAACGUUUCUCCUCUUUGCUCUUUCCGCUCCUCUGGGACCAGGAAGUAAAUGAGGCGAGCCCCCACCCACGCUCUGUUGAGACUUUAAUGAUCAAACGCAUCUUUAUUUAUUUCAUCCCAAUGCACAUGUAUGGAAAGGGGAGGAUUCUCUCUCUGCAAAUGAACAGAGACCCUCAAUUUUAUUGCACAAUUACACACGUUCAAUUAUCACAUAAUUGCCUUCAAAUAGGUUUUACAUUCGGCAACAAGCAACAUAACAGAGAGUGGAAGUAGAUGCAACGGGACCCAAACAUCUCUAAUGGCGCGGCUAAUCGCUGGCUAGCAGAUUCACGGGAGCCAUGUUCAAUGUGUGGAGUCACAGAAGGUUUGGAGCACAAGCUAAUGGAUCUCAACAUUUCCUCGCCCAGUGAGAUUGAGAGUUUAAUAGCGAGAUGUUUCCACCUGUGCUUUUCACGUGCAGGACGAGUGUUAGUGGCACAAGUUCUAAACAUGAUUUCAUCAGACCCCCGAAAGCCAGAUUACAACUGGGGCACUUUGAGGAUUUAUGGAUAUUAACCAUAAAUCCUCCUCUGGAGAUUAGCAGUGGGAGUUUCGGCAUCGUUGAAGGAUCAGCAGACGCCACCCUGAGCUCUGUAGGGACAAAACGGCCCCCACGACUAAACUGCCUCUAUUACGUUUGAGGGUAACACAUUGUAAAUGAGAGAAAAAUAAAACACACAACGGUACUUUGUCGUGUAUUUGCGGAAUGAUUACUUAAUUAGAUUUAGUAAAAAAAAACAUUUAAGCAACGAAAGUGCUCUUUUCCUCAAGUGUCAAAUUGAAACAACAAAAGCUCAAUAAAAGUACUUGGUAAUACUUUGGAAACAAAAUUACUUGCAACAUAUGGGAAAACGUACACGGCGACAAAAUGUAAUUUCGUUAUUGAUAAAAGAAUAGGACUCGGAAUAGAAAAACAAUUAAGUGACCUGUUCUCAUUAUAGAUAGGUAAGCCGGGUAAUUAGAGCAGAGAUCCCACAUUACGUUAGGCUUGUAAAUUGCAUUAAUAACUGAAACAAAUGAAAUAUUUAGUUUGACAGCAGCAGAAUGAAUAAUAAACUUCAUGAUGUUUGCGUA